ensembl:lncRNA
CUCUCGUCCGCAGCGCAGCGCCGAGCGGAGCCGCUCCGCUGUCGGCCGGGCCGGGCCGUCGGGGAGGAGGGGGGGGUGGGAGGGGGGGUUGAGCUGCGGCGGUCCCGGUGCUCCCGCAGUGCCCCUCCCGAGCUGCCAGGCUGGAUUUUAUGGGAAUAUCGAUAGAAUUAAAGUUCCUUGUAAUUCCGUGAUAAAUGGGGUGUCUCUAGUAAGUAAGAUGAAGUGCGGUGCCGUGAAGUUGUUUAUCUGGAAAGUAAUUCUCAGAAACCUGACUUCUGACACUUGGUCAUAUAUUAAACCGGCGUCUUGAACGUUGUACUUCAGAUGCUCCUUUUCCCCCUUCCCCUCGCAGUUUGCUAUUUAUAAGACUUCGUAGGUGCGGGUGAGUUGCUGGGUAAUUUUUCACCAACUGUGAAAAGCAUCGUUUGCAACAGCCGAAGAAUUCUCUGCUUAGGAAAUAGUACGGGGAGAGUGGGCUCACGAAUAGAUAACAUCUCCCGACCGUGCCAUUAUCGGCACAAACCCGUGCGGCUGCGCUGCUCCCGGCAGCCAAAAGGCAGGGAGGGCACGCUGCGAGGCGAGCAGGCUAACGACACCUAGAUGGGAUCGCAGAGGCGAUUCUGCAGACCUAAAGCAUGCUCCGACGGCACGAACAACAUGAGCGUGGUUCUGCGCAGCCCCAAAGACACCCGGACAUCUGCCGGGUUUAUCUUAGAGACUGCAAUUAGUGACAAACCGAGUUAAACUCGGCUUGGCUUUCCUAUUCCUGCACACCAUCGGAACCAGCAAAAGUUCCCAGCUCACAGCAUAACCCCCCCCCCCCCCCCCCUCCAGGACGGCCCCAUUCCCCAGACUUGUUUUUCCCAUUGCAAGAUGAAUGUGGCACUGUAUGUCACUUAACGCGCUCACCUAUGAGAGGCACAAAAAGUGAAGGUUAUUGCUUUUUGGAACGCACACUCGCAGUGUUCCACUUGCACGUUUGAUGGAUGUCUGUGGAAACACAGCUCCGGCCCCAUCAAACUGUUUGGAUUCAGAGUGCUCCGCUUGCAAACCAGUAGAUUUCUGAGUAAACUUGAGACGAAGAGCACAAAUUUGGGUGAGCUAAGGGGGAGCCUCUUCCUUAGCACUGAUGUGGGUGAGUGCAUGCGGAGCUCUGACCUCCAGGGCAGCACUGGAGUUACUGUACAGCAUUGUUCUGGUGUGAUGAUUGCAGAGCUGCCGCCCCAAAACGGCACGGCGUAGCAGAGAGAAAGGAUUAUUAGCAAUUUUUUGGAUCACCUUCAGGAGCAGCAACGCUCUCCUCCCUCCCCUCCGCCAUUCUCACUGUAGUGCUAUUUUCCUUUAUUAUUUGGCUAUUCACGACGGCUGUCUAAACAUUUACAGUCCCCUAUUAACAGCGUUUCUCCCCAAACAAUCGCACGCUUUCAUUUCAAUUAGAGCCAUUCAGGCUCGGGUUUUGCCACCAGGCCACGUCCCAGCCCCGCUCCCUUUCCCAGCACGGACCCAGGCAGCGCACAGCCCACAUCCCCACACCUCCUGCUCACAUCCCCACACCUCCUGCCCUGCUCCAGGUUAGGAGCUCAGACCACGACGCGUUCUGCCCUGGGUGCGGAUCAAGAACAACACAUUAAGAACAGUUACCGCUCCCUUUGUUUGCCCGGUGUCUGAUUUUUAUGGUGCAGAACUAAAGAGUGCCCGCUGAAUUUGACUAUGGAAGCGGGCAAAUUGCUUUCCAAAAGGCUUCUUCGGAGCACAGUGAUAAGGCACAACCCGCUCCUAGGUGCAGCGCCAGAUAAAUCCUUUUAACAGUCCUCAGAUCAGUUAACAGGGUGUCUUUUUUAUUAAGUGGAGCACCAGCAUAUGUACCACGCAUCCCGAUUUGCUGGUGGUGCUGCGGUGUCGGAGCAGAGGGAACAGAAGCAGCGGCAAACAAACGCCAUCGAUUAAUAUCUGUUUUUGCAUCGGUGUUGCCGAAUCCAUCAUUUCCACUGCUUGCUUAUCGUGUUUCUGAAACACUCAGAAUAUCCCAAAUAAGCCCGUGUGAUCCAGAAGGAACUUCUCUCUCGGGCUGGAGGUUGGUGCCACCAGGUUUGUGCUGCACUCACCCUAUGAUGCAUGUCCCACUUUACUCGUCUCCAUGAAUGGUUCAGCCUGGAUGUGAAAAUCAAUACAGACGUCCCUGAUGCCAAAAACCUAUUUGUCUAAAAGAUAUAAAAAGUGAAAUUGCAAUAAAGAUUUUUAUCGGGCUUUAUGGUGGAAUUCGUCAUUUAUAACUGGGAUGAUGAUGUUGGGUUAUAUAACGUGUUCGCUCUCAAAUUAGCUGAUGUGAGUAAAUAGAGGUAAUCUGGUAAAAUCUGGUGCCCAGGUUGAUCUCUGCAGAAAGCUACAGUUAAAGGAGGAGAAGAAAACAGUCACAUCAAUAUCACACCACUGAGCUGUCCCAGCAAAGCCCUGUGAUACGCACGAGGCGUUGGUAUCUAUUUUAGCUCUGGAAAAUCCUUGCUGCUUCUCUCCCUUCUGCUCUGCACUGAGUUGUUUCGGCAGCAAGGAGCAGUGGCAGCAUGAAAUAAUAUGUGAAUUUUAUGUGCUCUCUCUUCCUCAAAGCUGACUACCAGUGAGUGGCGAGGGGGGCACGAUACGGAGGUGGUGUUUUGAUGUGUGACUGCGAAGGGUGAGACGGCCAUUAUUAAGAGUGAUCGACUUCAGUGACUUUUAAACAAAGCUGUGAUUUAAUGUCUUAAAGCCCGAGAUGGCACAGACUUGUCGUUAGUUGGCGUGGUGGGCUGAGUGCCAUGCACUGGGCUUAUCUCGUGUGAGUAAAGCAUAGAAAUGUGUGGGGUAAGUGAUGGGGUCUUCGGCAGCACAAGGCUCUUGGCUUGCGUGGCCUUAUGGCAGAGGGGGGCUGUGCCAACGGGAGCACAUAAGGAUCUCACGUUACCUCCAACCUUCAAUUAUCGUGCUGAAUCUGGCCUAACCUGCUUAUCUCCUGAGAAUUACUCACUAGGUUUUGGCAGGAGGAGGUGUCAAUGAAAAUGAGACAGUUCUGGAGCCAGCAUCGCUGCCAGCAGCCAGGGCUUAAUUCUGGGCAGAGCUGGGGACAGUGUGUUCCUCUCCCUGCCAUGGCUCCAGCUGCUCCCAUCCCCAGCCCUCUCCACCAGGUGAGCUCUUCCCCAUCCCAUUCCCAUUCCCAUUCCUGUUCCUGGCUCCCAGCUCUAGUCUCCAUGUUGGAAGCCCAGUGGCUGGAGCUGUCUUCUUGACUAUGGAGAUGUAGCAGCAUCUGUCAGAAAAUACAUGUGAAAGCAGCCCGGGUGCCAGCAAAUAGGAGCUGUAGCUUUCUAAGCAGCUACAUCUGAUUUGGUUUCAUACAUUUAACUUCACCUUUUUUUUCUCCCACUAUUGGCAAAUGUGUUAUUCUCGCACAGAACUGAGAACAACCUCCAUUUCCCAGGAUUGCUUUACGGAGUCUUGGUGCAGGGAAGUGCAUGUUGUGAUGACAUCUGACGUCAUCCAGUGGCAUUCAUUGUCCACACCAAGCGGGAAUGGAAAGUUUCACGCCCCCUUCCCCUCCUGCUCCCCAGCAUUAGCUCACCAUUGUGGCGGGGCUGGGCAAACCACUUUGCAUUGGCCUCCAUCCGGAGUCCGGGUCAUGGGGAAAUGCUAAUCCUUAACAAAAAAGGAAAUGAUAAAAAUACCCAUGAAAUUAAUUUCCACACCUGCAGUCGAGAUUAAUAACAGCAACCGGAGUGGCAUCCCAUUUCAGUUCCCUGGAGGUGACUAACAGCCCUGGCCAUGAAUAUCAUACCAACCACCAGAGGAAUUCACUGUCUGAGGGAUCCACCGUGGAAAACAAUUGAUCCCCAGAGCUCCGCCUGCACAAUGGAAAAUGGCUUUAGUCAUGUAUUAGUCAUUUUAUCACAAGAUGGUAUUUCUGCACUGGGAGGUUUGCCCUCUGAGCCCAGCACAGAAGAACGGCGUUUGGCUUGGUAAUUUACACACAGGUUUUCAUCAUGUUUUCUUUAGGAGGAUGCGUGUAAAUGACGAAGAGCAAUAAACUCACUCUUCUGCAGGUUAAUUCAUGCAAGUUUCCCGUGUGCUUUAUUACUGUCUGUGCUUUGCAUCGGCCCCGCACGUCCCUGUGAGCGGCACUGGUAAUUCACCGAGAUGGAAGCGCGCUGUCACAGUGAGGAAUCAGGAUGCCAACAUCUUCGUAUCACCAAAAUUAAACAGGUCCCCUAACUAAUAUACCGGGAUGUGUGAGAAUAUUGCUGUGACUCAUAAUCAGAGCUGCGCAGUCCAAACCCAAACUGGAUUUGGAGUGGUUGGGGCAAGGGCGAAAUUACAAAAAUAAAGGCAAUGAGAUGUGGAAGAGGAGUGAACGCCCACAGCAAACCAACGAUCUGCAUCAGCAGCCAGGUAGCAGCAGACACAAGAGAAGUGCCUGGUCCACCAGUCUUUCUGGUUAGGUGCAAUUUUCACUCCGUGCUUGCAAGGCAAUAGCACAGAAAAAAUAAUAUCACAAUAUUCAGUGUUACGGACAGGUAGUACAGGCUUGGGCUUUCCCAGAAUCCUAGCAGGAACCAGAGGGAUGGGACUUCAGUUGGGUGUACAGGCAGCAGGGCAAAGCUGAGAGGAAAGAUAUCUUGCUUUCUAUCACUUUUAGCAUGCUUCUUUUCAUAGAAACACACAAUCAUAGAAUGGCUUGGGUUGGAAGGGGCCCCGGGGAUCAUCAAGUUCCAACCCCCCAGCCACAGGCAGGGCCAAAGGCUUUUCUCCUGGUUCACACUGGUAAUAACAAUGUAUUUUUGCAAUAUCGAAGAGCUAGAUAGAAGAAAAGAGUUCUACGCUGCAGAAGUUGAAUGACUUUUCCAUUAUAACAAAGCAGUGUGUCCUCAGUCCCUCGUGCACGGCAGAAGAACAGCACCAGUCUUUCUGCCAUGCAUGUCCAGCCAUGCACAACUCCAGGACUUCCUGGUGAACGUAACAUCUCUAAUGCAAAACAAUUAGUCAUUCCACCACAGCUGAGCUCGGCUCAUUUACCAACAGUGUGCAGUGAAUGUUGUAUCAAGACUGUGAUGAUCUGACGGUUUUAGGAAUAAACCUUUCAAGGAAUAGAAGACAUUGAUGCAAAAUUGAGGUGCCACAGAAAAGGCCAGAUGUUCAACUUUUAGGUCUUUAUAGGGCAUGCAAAUUUUUUCCUCAUGAGUGAAUGUGCACAUUACCCAUUGAUGCGAUCACUUAUGCAUCCAGCUCAUCAUCUGAAUAGGCAAAUAUCUUCUCUUCUGCAGCAACCAUACUCGGGAUUUAAUGCAAAAUUCAUUCUUUUUGAAAAUCACUCCCCUAGAACACAAUGGUAAAUCAUCCAAGAUAAAGCGAUGUGAGGAGAAAUGCUGCAUCCUUCUUCUGAGGCCUUUAUUUCUUUUCUCUAGAAAAAUGGCUCCACCUUCCUGCUGAAAGACACAAUUAUUUCCCCGUAUUCACGCUGUGUUACUUGCUCAGUAGCUCACAUCAUUGAUUGGGCUCCAUUAUACCAAAUUCUAGAAUGCCUGAAGAGCUAAGUAUAAAGCAGGAGACAACAGAUACAAAAAUAGACGUGGACCACGAGGUAACCAUGAAACACCCUGCGUUGGGAUUGUCUCCUGCAAGCUGGGAUGAGUCAGUGCAGGACAGGAGAUCACAAAGGAUAUCAGUGAAUAACCACCAUUAAGACACUUGUCCUGCUGUGUUGGACACCACGCUAUCUUUCACACAGUCUGUGACCGAAUGGCGUGCAAAAAUAAGGAUUGUGAUCCCUAGAGAUAACAUUACUCACCCUUAUUUAUUUUUUUCUCUGAAUAAAAGUCACAGUCUCCCAGCAAUAGCCAUUCUCAGCUGUGCCACAGCAUUCUGAGUUCUGCCUUGCCAGUUUCCUGGCAGAUCCAGCAGCUAUCGGGUUCCUUGCUUGUUUCCCCUCCAGCCACGUGAUGUUUACAGUUAUUGGGUUUGAACAAACAGAGCAAAUUCAAUCGAAGAUGAUAUGUAAUAUAACAUAAUAAAAAUGAAAUGCACUUUACAUUUGUAUAUCAGCUUGUUAGCAGGCAACUGACCUCAACAAGAACUGCUUAGACACCUAUCUCUAGGCACCAGCAUGCGUACGUCUGUUUGGUACAGAAAUAUGCUUUCUGUUCAUAUUAUGACCCACUGCAUAUGAGAGAACAGCUAAAUACAACAACAGAUAUAUGUGAGAAUGGAUAUGUAAGAAGGCAAACCUGCCACCAUCAUCAGUCUCUAAAACAAAUGGUUACUCAGGAAGACAAAAUACUCUUCCCCUCCUAAGGAAACCCAAGCUAUAUUAUGCACACAAAAAACAUGCCCGUAGUUUUGGUGCCAUAAAGCAUAAAUCAUCACGUAGCCCUCUGCAGAUUGCCUCUCCACACUGAACCGCUGGGCCACGUUCCCUGAGGUCCCCCAUCCUGCAGCAAUGAGCAGGACUGGAGGAGGUGGUGAGGCCGGCGGUGCUCCCAGGCCAACCUCUGCCCCUGCCACCCCGCAUCAGUCCCGCGAGCUUGGGGCUGAAAUCCAAGCAUGUCUUUGCAGGUGAUGGCAAUGCCAUGCCUACUUUCCUCUUUUUUAAAGGAUUGUAGGAAUUCUGGACCCAUCGCGGGUCUGCGAUCCCCAGUGCAGAAGGGAAAAGGAUUUCUAAUGAAAACCAGCUCCAGUUCUGAAUAUUUAAUACUGUGCCCAAGUGGUAACAGGAUGAUAAAGUUUUGAUAGGCCCGGUAUUGGCUUUUAUUUUUUUUAAGGGGGAAACUUCUCUCUCACUAACAGAAAAAGCAUUUUUAAUGCCAACAUCAAUAUAAAGCGCUGCUGGGACUUUUAUAUCAUUUCAAUAUCAGGCCUGCGUUCAAGGAGCAAAAAUAAAUGCAGUGUUCACAACCAUUUGAUAUUAUAGCUGAAUGGCUUUCAACAAGCUCUUGCCAUGUUUUUAUGCACAAAGUAUGAUUUGGGGGGUUGGGGAUGGAAAACGAGGGACUGGAGGGGAGGGGAAGCAGUUGCUAAUUUAUAGACAUUAGCUGGAAUGUUUGAGGGCAGUCUUAGCAGGGUCACACCAUCAUGCGUACACCAGGGCAUUUUGCAAAUAGCAGAAAUUCUUCUUUUUUUUUUUUUGCCUUCCUUUUUGCCUCUUCUGGCAGCAUCAAUAAAUUUGUUUGAUGCACUUUAAAUGUUUAAUUAAAACACGAUGUUAGCACAUUUACUGUAAGUGAUAA